rnacentral:rRNA from 1 species
AUUGAACGCUGGCGGCAGGCUUAACACAUGCAAGUCGAGCGGGGUGAUGGUGCUUGCACUAUCACUUAGCGGCGGACGGGUGAGUAAUGCUUAGGAAUCUGCCUAUUAGUGGGGGACAACAUCUCGAAAGGGAUGCUAAUACCGCAUACGUCCUACGGGAGAAAGCGGGGGAUCACUUGUGACCUUGCGCUAAUAGAUGAGCCUAAGUCGGAUUAGCUAGUUGGUGGGGUAAAGGCCUACCAAGGCGACGAUCUGUAGCGGGUCUGAGAGGAUGAUCCGCCACACUGGGACUGAGACACGGCCCAGACUCCUACGGGAGGCAGCAGUGGGGAAUAUUGGACAAUGGGGGGAACCCUGAUCCAGCCAUGCCGCGUGUGUGAAGAGGGCCUUCGGGUUGUAAAGGACUUUUGUCAGGGAGGAAAUCCCUAGUGCUAAUAACACUGGGGGAUGACAGUACCUGAAGAAUAAGCACCGGCUAACUACGUGCCAGCCGCCGCGGUAA